rnacentral:tRNA from 1 species
AUGUCUCUAGUUUAAUUGAAAAUGGUAGUUUGUCGUACUUCUGAUGAUAGGUUUUUUCUUCGGGGCGUG